GGGAGUGAAAUAGAACCUGAAACCCUGCACUUACAAGCUGUGGAAGCACAUUUCUUGUGUGACCGCGUACUUUUUGUAGAACGUGCCAACGCGUUACGUGAAUGAUCAAGGUUAAUCACUUAAGUUGCGGAGCCGUAGCGAAAGCGAGUUUUAACUGAGCGUUCAGUUACUUGACGGAGACCCGAAACCGGCCGACCUACCCAUGAGCAGGAUGAAGCGAAAGUAAAAUUUCGUGGAGGUCCGAACCCACGGGCGUUGAAAAGCUCGGGGAUGACUUGUGGGUAGCGGUGAAAUUCCAAUCGAGCCCGGAGAUAGCUGGUUCUCCCCGAAAUAGCUUUAGGGCUAGCCUCAAGGUGAGAGAUACGGAGGUAGAGCACUGAAUGUCCUAGGGGGUAUUGCACCUACCGAAGACUAUCAAACUCCGAAUGCCGUCAUCUUAUACUUGGGAGUCAGACUGUGGGUGAUAAGAUUCAUAGUCGAAAGGGCAACAGCCCAGAUCGUCAGCUAAGGUCCCUAAAUGUAAGUUAAGUGGUAAAGGAUGUGGGAUUGCACAGACAACCAGGAUGUUGGCUUAGAAGCAGCCACUCAUUCAAAGAGUGCGUAAUAGCUCACUGGUCGAGUGAUCCUGCGCCGAAGAUUUCCGGGGCUAAAACUUACUACCGAAGCUACGGCAUCAGUAAUGAUGGGUAGGGGAGCUUCCCAUACGGGUUGAAGCAUGACCGUAAGGACAUG
rnacentral:rRNA from 1 species